rnacentral:rRNA from 1 species
UACGAAGGGGGCUAGCGUUGCUCGGAAUUACUGGGCGUAAAGAGCUCGUAGGCGGUCUGUCGCGUCGGCUGUGAAAACCCGGAGCUCAACUCCGGGCCUGCAGUCGAUACGGGCAGACUGGAGUUCGGCAGGGGAGACUGGAAUUCCUGGUGUAGCGGUGAAAUGCGCAGAUAUCAGGAGGAACACCGGUGGCGAAGGCGGGUCUCUGGGCCGAUACUGACGCUGAGGAGCGAAAGCGUGGGGAGCGAACAGG